ensembl:snoRNA
UGGGUGUGCUCAGAGCAGGGGGCCUGAAGAAAUGGCUCCUCUGUUUACAACGCACCCAACAGGAAUCCAGGGUCAUUGUGACAAGGGGCACAAAAUGUGUGGCCUUCCUAUGAACAAACACCCUACAUGU